CCCCGCGCCCGGCCAGUAGUUGUUUUGUUUUUAGUGUAAGGUUGUGAUGGCGUUUGUGCAAGAUUGUGGUCUUUUGUGAUACUUUUUAUUAUCAGACAUUUUUGCAUGAUAAUCUUCUCUUUAUUACCUUUCCUAGCUCUAUUUGUCAUUUUUUAUUGCUGUUGUUCUUGUUGCUUUUUGUUGUUUGUGUACAUUUUUUUUUUUUUUUUUUCCCUGUAAGUGACUCCUGGAAGUUGAACCUGACGAAAAGGCACUGCUCUGGGAGUGGACCAUUUGGAUGAGAGAUUUAUAUGCAAUCAACAUGUAAGAAUAGAGCUUUGUAUUGCACUCAGAGGAGCAGUCAAGGGCUCCAUGCUAUGGUUCAUUAAAUGAGGAUGCAUACAAGAAAAUAAAGUUCCAGCCUUUGAAAAGAUUAUCCUGCACCAGUCUUGCACAGAACAGACAAAGCCACUGACUACUGAAAGAUGGAUAUGGGUUUUAACUAUGUGAAUGGUGUGUAACCAUGAUGGGUUAAAGACUAAAAGCCCUUCCACCUUUUCUCUGAGCCUCAGAUUGGAUGGUGCUAUUUUGAAAGGAAGAAAGUUGCCUUAAAUCAGAUUAAAAUACCCAGCUCUUGAAGAUCACAGGUAAAUACAAUCCUCACAGACAGAUAGAUUCUCCUUUGCAUAUUGAGGGGAGAAAUAAUUUAUGUCUGAGAAACUCACCACGGAACAAAAAGUUAAUCUGCACUCCACUUCUUGGGAGAAGUAGGUGAAAUAAAGGAUU